AAUCAACGCUGGCGGCGUGCCUAACACAUGCAAGUCGAACGAGAAAGCGGGAGCAAUCCCGUGAGUAAAGUGGCGACCGGGUGAGUAACACGUGACUAACCUACCCUACAGUGGGGAAUAACAUCGGGAAACCGGGGCUAAUUCCGCAUAGCAUCGCGAGCUGAAAUGCUGGCUAUCAAAGGAGCAAUUCGCUGGAGGAGGGGGUCGCGGCUGAUUAGCUAGUGGGCAUGGUAACGGCCUACCAAGGCGAUGAUCAUUAGCCGGCCUGAGAGGACGCACGGCCACACUGGAACUGAAACACGGUCCAGACUCCUACGGGAGGCAGCAGUGGGGAAUUUUGCGCAAUGGGGGAAACCCUGACGCAGCAACGCCGCGUGGAGGAUGAAGUCCCUUGGGACGUAAACUCCUUUCGAACGGGACGAAAAAAAUGACGGUACCGUAAGAAGAAGCCCCGGCUAACUCCGUGCCAGCCGCCGCUGUAAUAC
rnacentral:rRNA from 1 species